AACGAACGCUGGCGGCAUGCCUAACACAUGCAAGUCGAACGAGACCUUCGGGUCUAGUGGCGCACGGGUGCGUAACGCGUGGGAACCUGCCCUUAGGUUCGGAAUAACUCCCCGAAAGGGGUGCUAAUACCGGAUAAUGUCUUCGGACCAAAGAUUUAUCGCCUGUGGAUGGGCCCGCGUUGGAUUAGCUAGUUGGUAGGGUAAAAGCCUACCAAGGCGACGAUCCAUAGCUGGUCUGAGAGGAUGAUCAGCCACACUGGGACUGAGACACGGCCCAGACUCCUACGGGAGGGAGCAGUAGGGAAUAUUGGGCAAUGGGCGAAAGCCUGAUCCAGCAAUGCCGCGUGAGUGAUGAAGGCCUUAGGGUUGUAAAGCUCUUUUACCCGGGAUGAUAAUGACAGUACCGGGAGAAUAAGCUCCGGCUAACUCCGUG
rnacentral:rRNA from 1 species